GCCCAAAACCGGUCGGGAAGCUGACUCUUAAUCAGCGGGUCCUAGGUUCGAACCCUAGUGCGCCCACCA
rnacentral:tRNA from 1 species